CUCAUAGCGUAUAUUUAAGUUGUUGCAGUUAAAAAGCUCGUAGUCGGAUUUUGGCUGAGAACGGUCGGUCCGCCGUUAGGUGUGCACUGACUGGUCUCAGCUUCCUGGUGAGGAGGUGUGCUUCAUCGCCACUUAGUCACCGUGGUUACUUUGAAAAAAUUAGAGUGUUCAAAGCGGGCUUACGCUUGAAUAUAUUAGCAUGGAAUAACACCAUAGGACUCCUGUCCUAUUUCGUUGGUCUCGGGACGGGAGUAAUGAUUAAGAGGAACAGUUGGGGGCAUUCGUAUUUCAUUGUCAGAGGUGAAAUUCUUGGAUUUAUGAAAGACGAACUUCUGCGAAAGCAUUUGCCAAGGAUGUUUUCAUUGAUCAAGAACGAAAGUUGGGGGCUCGAAGAUGAUUAGAUACCAUCCUAGUCUCAACCAUAAACGAUGCCGACUAGGGAUUGGCGGAUGUUAAUUGAUGACUUCGCCAGCACCUUAUGAGAAAUCAAAGUUUUUGGGUUCCGGGGGGAGUAUGGUCGCAAGGCUGAAACUUAAAGGAAUUGACGGAAGGGCACCACCAGGCGUGGAGCCUGCGGCUUAAUUUGACUCAACACGGGGAAACUUACCAGGUCCAGACAUAGUAAGGAUUGACAGAUUGAGAGCUCUUUCUUGAUUCUAUGGAUGGUGGUGCAUGGCCGUUCU
rnacentral:rRNA from 1 species